AAAAACAUAAAUUAAGAAAAGAACCGCCUAAAUUUCUUCCCACGCCUAAGCUUAACAAAAACUAAAAAGAACCGCCGCGACCAGCUUUCUCUUCCAGACCUAAAAGCCUCAAAACCUAAGAACUUUCGAUUGAAGGCGAAACCAGACUUCAAAAAUCCUUCAAACGACAGUGAAAUCUUUCAAGCGAUUGAUGGCGAAACCAACCUUCAAAAAUCCUUCACACGGCACCGAUAUCUUUCAAGCAAUGGCGAUUUCCUUCAGGUGGUGGCGUUUCGUUCAACCAGCAUGCUUCUUCUCAUGGAAAAAUCGAAUUUCAAGGUAAUCCAUCCAUAAAAUUUGUGGAGUUCUGUUUAUUUAUGUUUGGUUGUUCCUAAUUUGCGUUUUAAGUGUAUUAUUAUUGGUAAUUAAUUUACUAGAAUUAGGAUUUGUUUAAUUAUGGGUUUUAGGGUUUUGUUCCUCUGAAUUGGGAUACGUAGUGUAUUUAAUUUUAAUUGGGUAUGAUUCUUUAUGUUGAUAAUAACUUGUUGAAUUAUUUGAUUUCAUGAUUGCACUGGAGUAUUACGUUUUUUUUUUUAAUUAUCUUUUCCUGAUAUUAACUCACAAUUGCCUAUAUUAAUGGAAGAAAAAAUCACGUUUAGAUUGAAGUUAAUUUCGGUUUGCUGAUGGAGUAGUAAGUUUUUUUGUUUUUGUUUUCUGGAAUUACGGGAAACUACAGUAGCUCAACUUGAGAGUCCCGUUAAGGACAGGUUUUUGUGUUCAUAAUCCCCUGUUGGUGUAAGACAGGUGUAGCCGUUAGUUUCGGUUCAAUUUUACGAAAACAUUAUACCAUGGUAAACUUGAAAGGGAAGUAUAUAUGUUAGCCUAAAAUAUAAUCUGAAUGGUUAGCCUAAAAUUUGAUCGAAGUAAACUUUGCUGCUUUGAAAUUGAAGUAUAAAUGGUUAGCCUAAAAUUUAAUCGAUGUAAACUUUGCUGCUUUGAACUGAUCUACUCUAAUGCCACUAACUACUAAUAUGCUGCUUUCCGCUAUGUGUAAUGAUCUGAUGUGGUUGUGUUGUUAUGCUAACUUGUGCUAAUCUGUUAUGAUGUGAUUGUGUUGUUCUGCUUGUUUAUGCUAAUUUGUUCUUCUGCCAUUGGAAACUACAAAAUUGAAAUAUUAAAAGUUUGUAACUUGUAUCAAUUUGUUUUAAUCAAUUCGAUAUAAUUCUGAUUUAUAUUACUGAAUUACAUUGAGCAUUUAACAAAGCUUUUAUAAUACCUGAAUUGCAUCAGGUGUGUUGGGAGCUUGGCUUGCUUUUGCUGGGCUAAGUGUAGGUUGUAGCUUUGCAUCUGUUUGCUGGUUUCAGGCUGAGUUCUAUUCUGGUUGUAUCUGGAUAGGGUGCUAUGUUCUGUUUCUAGUGUUUGCAGGGGGCUGUUUUCUUUUAUUCUUACAGUAUGGUUGAAGGUCUUAUCUGUUGGGGUCUACUCCUUUCUGUAUGUUGCAGCUGCUUUUCUGUGUUGGCUGGCAGUUCUAGUGUUUCUGCUGCUCUGUUAUGUCCUGCUGUGCUGUUGUUUUAACUGUGUGGAGAGUACUUGCUAGCUGCAGAUCUGCUUUGUGCAGGUGCUUGUUCGUGUUGAGCCACUUACUGCAGUUUGGGUGUUGUUGUGUUUGUUCAGGUGUGGGCUGUGUUCAUCGUUUAUUUCUUUGAAAUGGUAAAUGAUGUCAUGAAGCAUUUAUUUAUUGCCAAAUUCAAUGAUGUAAAGCCCAUUAUGUACUCCUAAUUUCUUUAAGAGCCGUGAAUAGGUAACACUGCAUGAUUUAAUAAUCUUCCUUAACCUUGAUUAUCUAGCUAUGUAGGAUUGGUAGUACAUUGCAUUUAUAUAAGAAGCAGAUUGUGCAUUAAUUUCCCUUGCUUCAGCUUGUGCCAUCGACUCGUAUGCCUCUUUUUAUGAGGUCUUGUUGAGGGUUUGGAUACGUAUCCCUUCAUUGGUUCUGUUGUUCUCAAUUCGUCAUGUUGUAUUAUUAACCAGAGAAGUAAGGGUCCAACUCAAGGAGCUUGGGUCACAAGAAGUGCACUUGUAUGGUGUCUCAGCAAACUCAGAUCAUGUAAAGCACCAGUAAUAAGCCUGGAAGAGGCAUGCAUGUGAAUUCGUAGUAUCCUCGUCAUUAAAAUGCACGAUUCCUCUUAUUCUCUUGAUUUUCUUUUAAGGGCAACUUUUUUGUGGUGGGUUGAUGUUGCUCGACAUUGUGCUUGUCAUUUUUCAGUUAUCUGUACUGGUUUCUAUAAUGAUCUUCAACCACAGACUUAUUCUUCUUUUUAUUUUGUGUGUGUUCAUAAUCUUAUCUAAGAUUCAUCUUCUUCUACAUAGGUUUCUGAAAGUUCUGGCAGUGUCUAAUUAGUUUUAAUGAAGAGAUCAAUCUCCAAGCUAGUUUAGCUUUUAGCCUGACAUUAUCUCUAAACUAAAUUGUCGGUUGUGUCUAUGCUUAUGUCCAGGCCUUUUUUUAAUCUAUGAAGCCUUCUGCAAAUGAGAAAUUGAUGUGGAAAAUGGUAUCUUGGGAAGAGAAAUAGAUAAUGUUUUGCGGACUAGAAGAACUAUUAAUAUUUCGGCCUUACUGUCCAUGGCGGCUUACUACAUUUCAUCCUGCAGCAUGAUACUCAUUAACAAAUUUGUCUAGUCAAUUUGUGACUUCAAUGCUGAUACAUUUAAUGUUGUACCAGAUCAUUUCAGCUAUUUCUGGAGGAGUACUGAUCUAACCUUCCAUGCCUUUGGCUAUACUUGGAAAUUUAUGAACUGUUUUCUAACUACUACAUAUUCUUGGUUUACAGAUGGUCAGUUUCCAAGUUAUGACAAUGAGCAGAUUGACGAAGUAAGAACUCAAUGGGCGCGCUAUGUUGUUUAACAACUUUAUAUUAGCUAGGUUAUGUUGAGGAUUAACAAAUAUACAACCUGUUAAUUAAUUUAUUUUGCGUAGUUUAGUGAUUAGGGUCUUAUUUUAGAACAUAUCUAUGUAAAUGGUUUUUAUUAUGGUGACGAUUGUAAUUCUUUCUUUCAAGCUCAAUUGGAAAUUGAUAUUCAACUUUUUA